AAGCAACUCUGUGUAAAUCUGUGACAGCUGCUGGAGGUGUCAGAGAAGAUCUUUAUCUGCAAGAGUGCCUAAAUGUAAGACUCAUAUCAGGAUCUUCACACAGUUUGAGCCGUUAAAUUCUUGUGCUGUGGAAAACCAAGAGAUGAGAAGAACUGAAAAAAAUAAGAGACAGGGUUCCUGUGGAUCUGUGCCACUUCCUUGGAGGAGGCUCCAGUCAUCCUGGUACACACUCUAGAGGUGGCCACUCCAAGCAUCUCCUUGGUGUCCCACAGCUCAGAACUGUUUUUUGAUCUCUGCUUGUCCACUGCAGUGACAACGAGCCAGAAGAUUACAUUCACGUCAUAUCCUUCAGGGAAACACAAACUGCCCAAAA
rnacentral:lncRNA from 1 species